AAAUAUACCGGUUCUCGUUCGAUCACCGAAGUUAAGCAUCAUCGGGCGCGGUCAGUACUUGGGAGGGUGACCACUUGGAAAAACCGCGUGCCGUU
rnacentral:rRNA from 1 species